GAGUCCGACGGAAGACGCGGCGCCGUCGAUCUCCUAUCCCCCUGCCGCCGUAGCCGAGAUGAAGGCAACGGUUUGUACGAUAGUCUACUGUCUCCUAUUGCUGCGGAUCGGAGGAUUCCCGAGAUGGACAGAGGCGGUGGCACGGCCGGAACCGGAAGGGAAGUGAGCGAGGAAGAAGCAAGGGUGGAAUUCGACAUCGCCGCCGAUCUCGUGGUACGGAGAGUGACAGCGACGAGCCCUCCUCCUGUGAUUCCGAUGAUUCCGGGGACAGGAAGUGCAUGCAGGAAGAGAUGAAGAAGUCACAAGGGUUUGAAGGAAAGUGAGAGAUCAUCGAGGAAGAAGAGGAACUGAGGAAGAGAGAUGGAUCGAGGAGGAGGAGGAGCAAGCGAACGUGAGCGGCCAUUGGCAAGGUCGGCGACGAGACCACCAAGGAGGAGGCCCGGUCCAAGGAGACGAUAGUCAAAUGCGUGGAAGGAGCCAGAGCCGGAGCCCGGGAGGACGAUGCGGGAGAGCAAGGUCAGUGACGACCUCAGGCGCCUCGCCGACUCUGACCACGAUCCGUCGUCUCCGUUCGCUGAUAUGUAACCCUGAUCAUUGCGUUUCUCUUUCUUUAGGUCGAUUUGAUCUUAUUCUUGAUGCUGAUCAGUUUUUGAAUGGAUCGACACUGCUUAGUAGUUAGUUCAUCAGCAAAUUUUUGGUCGUCCAAAGAUAUGUCAUUUCAAGCUGACGCAUCCAAAGUCCUGCCAAACGAACGAUUUGACCCUUGUUCUUGAUCGGAAUCUAUCGACAUUAUCCGGUUCAAUCGAUCAUUACAAGAAGAUUUGGGCAAAGAAAAUCAGGAAUCGUUCUGGGAACGCAUGUUUGCGAGUUAGUUGCGUGCAAGCCCUCGUGUUUUAC
rnacentral:lncRNA from 1 species